rnacentral:lncRNA from 1 species
CUAAUCCCAUCAUUUCAUUUGGUCCGCUGCCUUUGAAUACUAUACUCUCUCAAAACACUCUCUAAGAUUCGUGAAACCCUAGCCUCUCUCACCCAUCUCUGACCAUAACCUCACAGGAAUCUAUGGCUUCUCAGGCCAUGGACGGCCUGUAAUCACCUCCCUUCACCCCUAAACCCUGGGUGUUUGAAGUUUCGAGGUCUGACCUCGAUGAUACCCUUUAAUAUCUUAUUAGAACCAUGGCUUUGAGGCCUCUCCGGCCUUGCUCCGGCUCAUCCAAAGCAUUUCGAACCUGAUUCUAACUCAUCCGACUUGAGAUUGGACUUUUCCAAGCCUUUCUCAUUUAGUGUUCUUCUGAAACCCUAGUUACUUGAGGUUCUCUCUGAUUAUUUUUAAGAUCUAACAUAUGUAUGUGCUUUACUUAAGUUUCUUAAAUGUUUUCC